rnacentral:lncRNA from 1 species
AAGUGAGCUGCCAUGUACUAGGCCACGUGGCAAGGGCCUGGUUGGGGACCUCCAGGGGUUGAGAGCAUCCUCUGGACAACAUGGAAAAAGAAAAUGAAAAUGGUGACCUCAGCCCUAUAGCUAGAAGGAAUUGAAUCCUGUCAACAACGAUUGGGUUCUCGGUCUCGCUGACUUCAAGAAUGAAGCCGCAGACCCUCACGACUCAUCACUCACUGCAGAUGUUACUUUAAGACAUUCUGGAGCAGCGUCAUGUGCAGUCAUGUGAAAGUAUAUUCCAAACCCAGAACCUGAGCACAGAUUGGGACUGAGAAACACUUGUCUAGAUUGUCAGGCAAUCUGUAACAUCAGCAGUGGAUGGAAAGAAGGAGAAAGAUGAGUUUUAUGGACGCUAACCCAUCUAUAUGGCUUUGGAAAAUAAAGUACUGCUGUUUUUUUUUGUAAAGGAUUUUUAUUUUUUAUCUUUACAUACAUCUCCCAUUAAAAGGUUAAGACAUUAGGGUUUUCUAUUUAUAACUUGACUUUUGUAUAUGCAAACACUGUUUUGGAAGAUCUUG